rnacentral:rRNA from 1 species
GAUGAACGCUGGCGGCGUGCCUAAUACAUGCAAGUCGAGCGAACAGACGAGGAGCUUGCUCCUCUGACGUUAGCGGCGGACGGGUGAGUAACACGUGGAUAACCUACCUAUAAGACUGGGAUAACCUCGGGAAACCGGAGCUAAUACCGGAUAAUAUAUUGAACCGCAUGGUUCAAUAGUGAAAGACGGUUUUGCUGUCACUUAUAGAUGGAUCCGCGCCGCAUUAGCUAGUUGGUAAGGUAACGGCUUACCAAGGCAACGAUGCGUAGCCGACCUGAGAGGGUGAUCGGCCACACUGGAACUGAGACACGGUCCAGACUCCUACGGGAGGCAGCAGUAGGGAAUCUUCCGCAAUGGGCGAAAGCUUGACGGAGCAACGCCGCGUGAGUGAUGAAGGUCUUCGGAUCGUAAAACUCUGUUAUUAGGGAAGAACAAAUGUGUAAGUAACUAUGCACGUCUUGACGGUACCUAAUCAGAAAGCCACGGCUAACUACGUG